UUAUAUAAAUGCCCUGUUUUUCAUUGAACAUUCAAUUUAUUCAUAUUCAUUUAUCAGUAUGGGCUCAAAGAUUCCUGUCGUAGUAAAUAGACUAGAAACCAUUAUUAUCACUAUUUUGAUGCUCAAAUUGUCCUGAACACAGCCAGUGGGAGCUCCCUAAAUCUGGCUGCUGUGUCCUUUUGACAUGUUCCUGUCAUUCUUCGAGUACUACCUGCCUCACUGCCACAGGGUAUUCCAGGCUCAUGUAUCUCCACUCCAGCCCUAGAAUUAGCUAUUUUUCCAAGGUGCCUGAUUCCUCUUAGUGGAGAGUGAUAUUUGCAAACCAUGGUCUGGGUCUAUCUGAGCCCUGCCUCCUAUCCUACUAAGCUGUGCUCAGACCCCCAAUAUGAUACUGGAACAGGCUGAGCCCUGGCUGUGAGCUUGGCAGAGUCUCCAAAUCAGGGCACACUGAAGAUGAGCAGGUCCGGCCCCUCCUGUGCUACAGGUGAAGCCUGGGGAUGUGGGGUGGGCCUCACUCGUAGAACCAAACUGGCUCGAAAUUCUCUACCCAGCCCCCAACCCUCAGAAGGACCCACAGGAGGUCUGUCCAGCCAAGGGCUUCAGAGUUAAACUGGAGGAGCUCCAACAACACAAGGCAAACUCUUCAUUGCUGCUUCCUGGAAACAACUGAGGAGGGAAGUUGCAAAGAGAAAACCCAGGGGUAAAGGAGCAGGGAGAAUCUGUCUGAGAUAUGUAGUGAUGGCCUCCGCCACGUCAGACUGAAGCCAGUGCAGGCCAUUUGCCCCAGGAGGCACUUUCUGCAAACUUUGCUUAAGCUGACCUCUGUGCUGAGCAAUGACCCCAGCUGGGAUGCUUACUUCCAGCUCACAGCCUGGCAGAAGAAGAUGCAAUGCUACAAGCAAAGAGAAAUAUUUCACAGAAGAACAAGGGGGCAUUGGAGCCAGGCCUGGUGAGGAGCUCCACCUGCCAUUUCCUGAGGCUGUAAGCAGGGGCAGGGUGGGGCUAGAGGGGAUCUUUUCAGGUUAGUCCUUGCUCACCUCCUGUGACUCUGUCUCCCCAGGAGCAAGCUUCAUGAGAGAUGGUCUUGCUGGACAUUACAGGAGGAAAAGAAGGAAGACAGGAAGAUCAGGAAGGAAGACCAGGCUGAAGGGACAGGCAAACCAGCCUCGACAGCUCUGCCCAGUAUGACUGGGGUGGCUGUCCAUCCGAGAACAAGAACUCAAAAGGCACAUGGAUGUUAUUUCUCAGUGGCAGUGACAAUCUGUAGGUCUCUGAUCCUAUCAGACUGUCCUCAGACAGAGGAGGAGGAGGUGAAAGGGGAAAAAUAUUGCCUUGUAAGAAUGGGCAAAGACAAAAUUACUACUAGGCAGAAGGUGAGAGAAGCAAGGUUGGCAGGGCAGAGGCUAGCCUAUAGUGAGCCUUGCAUGCCUUAGGAAAAGGUGCCCCUUCUGGGUCCCGAGCCCAACGAGCAAGGGGUGCUUCUGUGCAAACUUUAAACGGAGCAGUCCCAUACCAGAGUACACAAUGUGGCAAGUGAGCUCUAGCUGAAUUUCAGCCUCCACUCUACCCCUCAGCAGGGCAUAUUUGUGCAGGGUACAACCAACACCACUGUCCAUGGUAGCCUUGAGGGUUGACUGAAUUAUUACUGAGGGAAUAUAAAUUUCUUGCUUUUCCUGAGUGGAGAAAAAUAUACCCUAGAAACUCUAUAUUCCCUGCUGAAGAUUUUCUCAGCCUACUUUAAGGCCUGAGCUUAGCUGUGGGGAGAAGUGUCAGUGGAAGUUCUGACAGUGGGAGGAGGAAUUGUUUCCCAUACAAGGACUGUCCCGUACUGACAGGAGGAAGCACAUUCCUGGUUCAUGAUGGGUGAACACCCAUGAGUCCAGACACCUGCAAAGACCAUGCCUGGCAUCACACAGGGAGGGAGAAUUGCCACAGCUUUGGGAAUGAGGAAGAAGACAGGAGACGGCAUCCCUGCAGGGCCAAGGAAGAGACUCCCUCUUCCCAGAGGUAGAACAGCUGUUUCCCUGGGACGAGGCUGUGGAGGGAGGCACCUGCAUUCCCCAGGCAGCAGGUCACUCUUUCUGUGCAGGUGUGGAGAGAGAGUGGAGGUGACGAGCAGGGGAGUGGCUCAUUGCUGUCAGGCAGGUCUCAAGGCUCUGGAGUGCUUCACUUUCUUUCUCCCAGCCCCACCACUUUUCCUGUGACCUGAGCUGGUGCUUAGCUCUGUCAGGCUGCCAGCCAGUUCUUACUCAACCAGGAAAAUCCAUGAACCCCAGAGUCUGGCUGUACAACACCUGCCUAAACAGCAGGCCUGGACUGAGAUCAAUGCACAGAAGAGAGAAUACAGGGGUGUGUGUGUGUGUGUGUGUGUGUGUGUGUGUGUGUGUGUGUGUGUCUCCAAGCACAUAUGUGUAUAGGGAGUGAAUGGAAUGUCCAUGGAGAAAGAGACCUACGUUCUGUGGGUAUUCUUCUGAGAUCAUCCUUACUUUAGCUCUGGGGGGCACAGCUCUUGGGUGAGGUAACCCCGUGGAAAUCAUGACCUACUCUCACCUGAGUCUGCUGUGGUUUAAAGGAGCAGGAGUCACUGAUGGAAGAAAGGGCUCAUAUUCAGUGGUUGCCCUAGGUAUGGAGUGAGGGCUCUUCAGGUGGACUAGAGGGGUCAGACUGUCAGUGUGAGGGGGCUGCAAGGCUGUGGCCUCAGGUCUAGCUCCAUUGAGGGACAGAAGGCCCAAGAGGACCUGCUCCUCAUGGCUCAGCCUGUUCCUCCCCCUGAACAUCCUCCCUCCUCUUUUACCUACCUUUUAGGAGCCAGCGCAUUCCCCCUCCUCUGUUCCUCCUUCCUCACUAAUUCUAGGCUCUCCUGUGCUUGUGAUGUGGGAAUGAGGAAAGGCUGAGGGCUGCAGACCUGUCUCUGGGAGUGAGGACCACUGCUCACACUUUCAUGCUGACUGCCAUCCAAGGUGCUGAGCGUAGCAGGCUUUCCCCUGGGGACAGUGAGAACUGGCUGUUUCCCUGCCCUCUGAAAUUGCUUCCUCUUCCUUCAGGGGUUCUUUAAUCCAGUGAAGGCCCCCAGAGUCUCAGGCUGGCAUGGUGCCUAGUCAGUUCAAGUCAAUUCAGUCUCUUUGAAGAUGUCCGUGGAACUUCACAGCUACACUACAUUAAGUCUCCUUCCAGGAGCUGACCCUGAGAUAAGGGUUUGUGCACAUGUGGUUAUGAAGGCCAUGCUCCCACAAAAAUCACAAGGGAAUGUGGAGAGUGGGACAGAAAAGGAAAGCAAGGGGGCUACCUCAGGUGAAGUCGGCAGCAGCCCGGCCCCUAAGGAGCUCUGGAGUAGAAAUGACACCUGAGAGUUUGUUCCACCUUGAGGCAAGAGAGCUGAGUGUCAUAUGGCUGUCAGUCAUUGGCUGCAGGUGGCCUUGGGGGUUUACACAUUCCCAGCCUGCCUGCUCCUGAAGGGUGAAAGUGGCUCUGUUAGCCUGAGGACAGGACUCUUGGGAGCCACAGGAGCAGGUUGUUCCCAGCAAAGCUCCCACAGCUGGCAGGGGCGGGCUGUGGGGAGGGAUUUGAGUGGAUCUGGCCGGGGCACUGACAGAGUGUGUGGAGGUGAAGGGCAGCCAGAGUGUCUCCCUUGGAAAUCAGCCGGCAUGGGCUGGGGCUGGCAGCAGAUGACGAAGGGCUCUGACACUGGCAGGGAGGAUCUGCCAGAGUAGGGAGAUUGGGUACAGUUUUGAGAUUAUUAUGGGCAUCCCCUAUAAGACUUCUCAAUAUCAAGCUUUAAGGGGAACCAACAGAUUUGCAUGGCAGAGUUCAAGGUGUUCUUUUCCAGAGUCAUCACAUUUCUCCAUCUCACUCUGUUCCUUCGCCUUCCUCUUAUCACCAGCCUUUUUCAUUCUAUGGAAUUCCUGUGUCACCUGCUGUUUGGACCACUCUCUGGCUGCUCACUGUGCCUUGACGUCCUCACAGGGUUAGUUCCUGAUGGUCGUUACACACGCAGCUGUGGAGGUGAACUUGGAUUUGAUGCUCAGCUCAACCACUUACUGUGUAUCUUGAGCAAGUUACUUAACUUCGCAUAUGCUUACAAAAUUUGAAGACCACAACCACUCUCCAAAUACAAAUGCAGAAACUGAUUUGAAGAUCACACAAGUGACAACACAGGCAAAAAAUGCAAGAAAUCUCCCCUGCCAACUUAUUCAACUAUGUAUGACUUCUGCCUCUUCACAGCGCCAAUUUGCUAUGCUAUGUAUUUCAUCUUUGCAUCAUUUUCAGUACUAGAUGUAUAAAUUGUAUAAAGAUUUUUAGAAUUCUAAUUCAUUUUAUGCAUUUUUUGCAGAUUUGAUUCCAUGAAAGUGCAUGAUCGACUGUGUGUAAUCAUUGUGCGUGCACAUAAAAAUGAAGAGAUAAAUGAAGAGAUGUCCUUUUUAUACAUCUGCAUUUAUAAAAUAUAAAAUUUCUUAAGAUCUUGGCUGUUUGGGAGACUGUAUAUGUAGUGGUGACCUAUCAUGGUUUUUGAUCAAUCUUGUCAAAAGACAUAACUUGUCUGUAAUGGCAUUUCAGAUGACUGAAUUUCAGAUGUUAAAAAGCUGGGUGCACGCAAUUGCCAACCAUAGUGAUGUAUGUUUAUACAUUUUGCUCUUUGACAUACUUCUUUAUGAGUAUGGUUUUUCUGCUCAUAAUUGUUAUACUCUUGCAACUGUCGUUAGUAUACCUGAGUGCUCAUGUUUGCAAAUCUACGUAUGUUAUUGAUGCCUAUUUUAUUGUAUACAAUGGCCUAUGAAGUGUUCUGUUGUGUUUUUAUAUGUUUUUCAAAUAAAUUCCCUUUAGAAAUGUGAA